rnacentral:rRNA from 1 species
UACGGAGGAUGCAAGCGUUAUCCGGAUUUAUUGGGUUUAAAGGGUGCGCAGGCGGGGGAUUAAGUCGGCGGUGAAAUUUUGCAGCUCAACUGUAAAAGUGCCUUCGAAACUGGUUUCCUUGAGUGUAGAUGAAGUAGGCGGAAUUUGUGGUGUAGCGGUGAAAUGCUUAGAUAUCACGAGGAACUCCGGUUGCGCAGGCAGCUUACUAAACUACUACUGACGCUCAGGCACGAAGGCGUGGGGAUCAAACAGGAUUAGAUACCUCCGUAGUCCCUGA